rnacentral:lncRNA from 1 species
UUUCGAUCAACUUGUAAGAUGAGUUUUGCCCAAGUUUAACUGGGUCAUGCUUUCUCUUCUAUCUCAGCAGAAGCAUAAUUUAUCAAAAGCUGAAACAGAUCCACUGUGGAAUGUGCUUUUUAAGAAGCUUUCCGAGCUUCCCUGCAGCGCUGGAGUCAAAUACUGGGUCUACGACACAUUAAGAAUUAUCAGCAGUGUUUAUAAUCCCUGUGAAACAUGGAAUUUCAUGAACUAUAAGACACCCUACAGAAUAAGCCACCUGGUGCCCAAUCAGAUAUAAUAAAACAGGCAGAAGCAGAAAGGCACAUCUUGAUGUGGUUAACUGUCCGCAUAUGCUCUUUAUUAUUCAAAAUCGACAACCUGAAAAAGCUGCCAGCACACAGGAAAAAAUAUGAAUUGGUUCAUUACAUCUGUUCAUUUCCUCUUCUGAAUCUCUGCUCUCAGAGGACUCUCAGCUAACCUAGGAAGGCAAGGCAGAAGAAAGUACUGACCUUUAUCUUCUUAAUAAGUAAC